UUCAAAGUCAUGCCUGCAAAGGGAAGAGUAGACAGAAACGCAGAUGGAAAAACCAGGAAAGCGUGGUCCCCCAGGCCCCAUGGGAUGAAAGAGGUUCAUGAAGGAGGCAUCCCAGGAGUGUCAGAUGUUGACAAUGGGUCAAGUUAAGUAAACUGAGAAUUGCUUGUUGGCAUUAACAGCUAAAUCACUGAUGAGCAUGAUUGCACUUCUUCUGUCAGGAUGUUGGAGAGAGAAUGCAGUUGCAGUGGAUUGAGAAUGACUGGGAAUGGGUAGGGAAGGCAGAAGAGACCAUGAGCAAAGACUGAUAUUUAAUAAGCCAACUGUAAAGAGGAAAAGAGGCAUGCAGCAUGAAGCGGGAGACUUGGAAUCAGGGAACGAGCACGUUGCCAUUUUUUGUUUUGUUUUGAUUUGGUUUAUUAAUGAUUUUAUUCUGGAAUGCUAAAGGAAAAGCAAUGGAGAAUAUGAGACGAAAGACUGAGCUCUGGUUGGAAAGGUUUUACCACCAAGCAGGGAAGCAGAUGAGCACAGCUCUUGGCUCUGGGAGAUUAGGUUCAAGGGAGUAGAAAUAGGGAGGCUUUCUUAAAGCCAAAGGGCCUUGAGCUGCCCUGUGUUAGGAAAGCAAAGUCUCUGAGUGCUGCUGAGUGGGUAAUGGUCUCUGGGGUCAUUCGACGGCUGAGCCCCGGCUGACUGAGGUGUCCGCAGUCAGAGGUGAGGGGCCUACCUUGGGAUCAUGACAUUGUAUUAGUUUCCUGUUGCUGCUGUAACACAUUGCCACAAACAGUGGCUUAAAGCAGCACAGAUUCAUUAUCUCACACUUCUGGAGGUCAGAAACUGCGUGGGUCUCAGUGACUCACAGCAAGGCAGCGACACAGCUGCCAUCCCUCGGGAGGCUCUUUUGGAGACUGUUUCCUGCCUUUUCCCACUCCCAGAGGCCGCCUGCAUUCCUGAGCUCGCAGUCCCUUCCUCCAUGUGUAUAACCCACAGCACAGCAUCCUCAUAGCUCUCUGACUCUGACCCUGACUCUCUCCUCUCCCUCUUCAGCUUUUUUUUUUUUUUCCUGCUUUAUCUCCCAAAAUCCCCCCUGGUACAUAGUUGUAUAUCUUAGUUGCAGGUCCUUCUAGUCGUGGCAUAUGGGACGCCGCCUCAACGUGACCUGAUGGGCGGCACCAAGUUCGCGCCCAGGAUCUGAACCAGCGAAACCCUGGGCCGAAGCAGAGUGCGCGAACUUAACCACUCGGCCACGGGGCUUGCCCCCUCUCUUCCGCUUUUACUGAGCCUUGUGAUUACAUUGGGCACACCUGGGUAAUCCAGGCUACUCUCCCAUCUCAAGAUCCUUAAUUGAGCCACACCUGCAAAGUCCCUUUUGCCAGGGAGGGUAACAGAUUCACAGGUUCUGGGUAUUAGCAUGUGGACAUCAUUGGGGGGCCGUUAUUCUGCCCACCACAGGCAUCUACCUACUUCUGCUGAAGUGUGAUCCUUGGAGGAUGGGGUCCCACUGCUCCUGCUGCUGCUGUGAGGUGCCUGCCUCCAAAUCGUGGUGCCAGCAGAUCUGUAAAGUUAGAAGGAAGAGCACCGCUUGUCUGGAGAGACAAACUGGAAACAAAACCUCCAGACAAGAUGAAGAUUUCGUUGGGACUUUCAGUCAAGAUGGCUCAGUUAGUUCCUUCCUCAACGCCUGUGCUCCAAACCCAUGGAAAGGGCAGGAUAUUUAUUAAUGGGGAGGAGAUAGAGCAAAGUUCAUAAAGGAGAUGAUCUUCUCUGUGCACGAAGAAAGAGACAGGAAGGCCAAAUGCGAGCAGGGCUACAAGGAGGACCUAGAGGCUCCCAGGUCCGGAAGCAGCACUGGAAUCCAGGGCUUGACUCCUGUAAAGGGGACUAAAAGUGCUCACGGCACACAGGAACUCGUGCACAGCUCACGGCGUGAGGCCAGGGGCUGGGGUGAGGCUCCUCGCCUCGCAGCACACGUGCAAGGAUGCUGAAACUAAAUGACUUUGUCCCAAUUCCACCUGGGACUUUGGCUUUUAGAAAGCUGCUAGCCUCGGGGGAAACAAGGACACAGAUAUGGAUUCACAUCCAGGAACUCAGCUGAGCUGCCCAUGGCUAACGGCCUGGACCAGUGACAUUUCCCAUCUGACAGCACAGCAGGAACCCAAAGCACUAGCGUGGAGCGUGAUUGUGUCUGGAGAUCUUUAGGGCUGGAUGGAGACAGCUCAGAACUCCCAGGCACAUAAUGUGUGUUUUUGGUUGGGGGAGGAUAAAAGAGAAAGAAAUACAAACUAAACAAAUCCACCCAUUCCAAAGUAAGAAGGCUCAACAAAAAUCUAAAACCUAUGACAUAAUAUGACAUUAAAAUACAGCCAAUAAAAUCAACAACUGAAGAAUGAAAUAUUCCAGAAGAAAUAAUUUUAUAGAGUACUUUGACAAAGACAAGCACAACUUUUGGUGUCCUUUCUGUUCAAAUCUUCUGCUCAAAUGCUUAUUUCUCGGCAGAUGGUGAUGGGAGGUCCUGGGUGGAAGUCUGGAAUCUGGGUCUCUAAUGGGCACCAACAAGUGAUUCAGGCACUGAUAACAGUAGAUGAUGCAAUAGGAAGCAGUAUUUACUUCUUUUGUGUUUUCUAUUAGAAUAUUCAAUUCAAUACGAAAUGUAUAGAAGGCUAUAAACAAAAUUUAUUGAGUUGGGAGCUAGUAGAUGAUCUUUCACGUUAUUUGCCUUUUUUCUAUUGUAAACUAUCUUCCUUCUAAAUCACCUCUUAACUCUACUUCCUGCUUCAAUUAUGGCCAGAAAUGUCAGCCCAUAAACAAAGAAGUUUGCUCCAGUGGCAAGUUCAGUGAGAAGACAGCAGUUGCUGAUGGCAGACGUGUAUUUAAACCCAACCUCCAACCUCAUCACGUGAUGAGGAGAGUAAGCCUUUGAAUCACUAUGGGAUGUGUGGACACCUCCACACCAGAGCCUGUUGUUUCCUUCUGGGAAAGGAAUUAUUCCCUCCUAGGUUGGAGUCUGUGCUCCCCAGUCUUUUUCACUUCAUCACAGAUGGUGACCUGUUACAAUACACUGAAUGUUUGUGUCCCCUCAAAUUUCUUUUCUGUAACCUAGUCUCCAAUAUGAUGGUAUUUAGAGGCAGGGCCCUUAGAAGGUGAUUAGAUCCUGAGGGUGAAGCCCUCAUGAAUGAGACUGGUGCCCUUAUAGAAGAGGCCCUGGGAGGUCCCCUGCCCUUCUGCUAUGUGAGCACAAAGCAAAAGAUAGCUGUUUAUGGGGGCUGACCCCAUGGCCCAGUGGUUAAGUUCACACACUCCACUUUGGUGGCCCAGGGUU
rnacentral:lncRNA from 1 species